CUCUUAUCCUCUUUUCACCACUGGCAGGCUAAAGCUUGGGUAUUAAUAGCAGGGAUGUUGUCAUAGAGUAGACCUCAACAUGGUUCUGCUACCAUGGAAACUAUACAAGGCCUGAGGUGAGCUUGCGCAGCCUGUGAAAAACCCAUAGUGACACUUCUCAUUGCAGAGCACCUCACUGAAGUAGAUCCAUCCUGGAUGAAUCCUUAAUCACCACUGGGUCUGCAGGGAAGAUGGUGCAGCGUGAAGCCUACCUGACCCACCUCAGACCAGCUCCAACAUGCUGUUUGUAAUGGGUGCUCAAAUGAGCUGAUGAGCUCAAGUAGAAGAGAAUUUCCCACUCAAACCCCGGACUAAAAUCAUUGCUAGCAAGGAGGUCUGGAUACCACAUUGGAAAGAGAGCUGGGGGGAAGACCCAUUUCCUCUAAAGAUAUUUUAUCUGAAAUCAAUUAAUAAGAUAAUAGAAAUGCUGCUUGUGAGCAGAAGCUGUGUACUAAUGAACUUAAAGCCUGGAGACAAAAGUACAAAGAACCCCCAGAUGAGCAGUGAGCCUAGAGAUGAACAGUGAUUAAAUUGCUACAGAGCAUCACUAUGGCUUCCCCAAUGCUCUCCUAUGGAAAGCCCAAUUAAACCAUCCUCAUUGACCAGUUGUUAGGCUUCCUAACUGAGCUUCUUUUGGUAAUGAAGUUAUAACAAAUAUUUUUCCUGGAUUUCAUAUCAUAAGAAGCAAGCAACUCUAAGGAUACUCCAUGUAUGUCUAGAACCUUCACUGAGCCUUUUUUCAACUUCAGAUCUGGCUGCGACCUUGAUAGGAGGUGGUGUUUUCUUUCAACGUUCAUUUCUCCAGAUUAUUGUCAGAAAAAUAAGAUGUGCCACAUGAGAUUCUUCCCACACUACACAUCCCUUGGAAAGACUUUAAUUAAACACACGCUAUCAGUUACCGGAUGAAUUCACUAGCUUGCACUGCAGAGGCUGAAGAGAUGAUGUAGCGAUUUUUAUAGAUCUAUACUCUCAUCCCUACUUACAUAAAGAUGAAAUAACGUGGAAGUAUAACACUGCUUGUACACUAUUAUAUUGUUACAAGCAAAAUGCGCUAGAUAGAAUAAAUUCCAUCAACUCAAACAUUCUAAAUAUUUUUCAGUGAACUGUAAUAAAAUUUGUCCAGUGUUCUGCAGAAGUGUGUUCCAUUCAGUGUAGCUUCAUGGCAACAAUACCAUACGAUGUAAAACUGAAUUCAGUAUUGAGA